ACCCAGACUCCUACGGGAGGCAGCAGUGGGGAAUAUUGCACAAUGGGGGGAACCCUGAUGCAGCGACGCCGCGUGAGUGAAGAAGUAUUUCGGUAUGUAAAGCUCUAUCAGCAGGGAAGAAAAUGACGGUACCUGACUAAGAAGCCCCGGCUAACUACGUGCCAGCAGCCGCGGUAAUACGUAGGGGGCAAGCGUUAUCCGGAUUUACUGGGUGUAAAGGGAGCGUAGACGGCGAUGCAAGCCAGAUGUGAAAGCCCGGGGCUCAACCCCGGGACUGCAUUUGGAACUGUGUGGCUGGAGUGUCGGAGAGGCAGGCGGAAUUCCUAGUGUAGCGGUGAAAUGCGUAGAUAUUAGGAGGAACACCAGUGGCGAAGGCGGCCUGCUGGACGAUGACUGACGUUGAGGCUCGAAAGCGUGGGGAGCAAACAGGAUUAGAUACCCCAGUA
rnacentral:rRNA from 1 species